rnacentral:tRNA from 1 species
CCUGGUGACUGAGAUGGUAAAGAAUCUGCCUUCAAAGCAGGAGACCUAGGUUUGAUCCCUGGGUCAGGA